rnacentral:snoRNA from 1 species
ACGACCUUACUUGAACAGGAUCUGUUCUAUAGGCUCGUACCACUGUAUCCUUGAGUNCCUAAGGAGACAGAAAACCAAGUCUGCUUGAUGAGGCAGGUCCAAUAGACCAGAGCGUGAGUAACAGCUCCCACAGCCCACGGGUUAUGGUGUCGUACAUGAUCGUCUAAUGGCUGGCUGACAGACU